GACGAACGCUGGCGGCGUGCUUAACACAUGCAAGUCGAACGGAAAGGCCCUGCUUGCAGGGUACUCGAGUGGCGAGCGGGUGAGUAACACGUGGGUGAUCUGCCCUGCACUUCGGGAUAAGCCUGGGAAACUGGGUCUAAUACCGGAUAGGAGCCAUUUUUAGUGUGAUGGUUGGAAAGUUUUUUCGGUGUAGGAUGAGCUCGCGGCCUAUCAGCUUGUUGGUGGGGUAAUGGCCUACCAAGGCGGCGACGGGUAGCCGGCCUGAGAGGGUGGACGGCCACAUUGGGACUGAGAUACGGCCCAGACUCCUACGGGAGGCAGCAGUGGGGAAUAUUGCACAAUGGGCGCAAGCCUGAUGCAGCGACGCCGCGGGGGGGAUGACGGCCUUCGGGUUGUAAACUCCUUUCGCUAGGGACGAAGCUUUUUGUGACGGUACCUAGAUAAGAAGCACCGGCUAACUACGUG
rnacentral:rRNA from 1 species